rnacentral:rRNA from 1 species
ACCUACGGGAGGCAGCAGUCGGGAAUAUUGCGCAAUGGAGGAAACUCUGACGCAGUGACGCCGCGUAUAGGAAGAAGGUUUUCGGAUUGUAAACUAUUGUCGUUAGGGAAGAAAAAAGACAGUACCCAAGCAGGAAGCUCCGGCUAACUACGUGCCAGCAGCCGCGGUAAUACGUAGGGAGCGAGCGUUAUCCGGAUUUAUUGGGUGUAAAGGAUGCGUAGACGGGUAUACAAGUUGGUUGUGAAAUCCCUCGGCUUAACUGAGGAACUGCAACCAAAACUGUAUAUCUUGAGUACAGGAGAGGG